CCUUUUUCCAGGUUUUGGGUAGUCCAUUUUAGGGGAAGUUCUGCCAAAUUUUUGGAAGAAUUUCUUCUAAGGUGGACCCCGCAGGGCCACUUCGGAUUUCAGGGUGAAAUCCGGGGGCGGGUCCUGUUAUUAACUAUAACUGUGCAAUGCAUAAUUCUAUUGCUUUUUACCCAAUUCUUCCAACAGACCCUUUAGCCACACCAUCUCCUAACCAGCCUCUGAAACUGCUAUAUACUCAGACCCGUUAUAGACAAGGCCACUUGCCCUUGCAAAUUUGAAACCCAAGAUACGGCAGCACCAACCACAGUAUAGACAUAACCAGUAGUACUCCGACAAGUAUCAUGAUCUCCUGCCAAGUCUGCAUCAACAUAUCCUUGUAGUUCUGCACUAUCUCUCUUGAAACAAAGUGACAUAUCAGUAAUACCCCGAAGAUGCCUCAUGAUCCACUUCACUGCCACCCAAUGUUGCUUUCUUGGAUUACUCGUGUACCUACUCAUAACUCCAACUACAUGAGCAAUAUCGAGUCUAGUACACACCUAGCAUACAUUAAGCAUCCAACUGCCGAUGCAUAAGGUUAGGGCAAUUCAUGUUGUAAGAGGGUGGUGAUGCUUUGUCAGAAUUUGGUAGCACUGGACCAGAGAGAUUUUCAUCCCCAUCUUAGAUGAGGGUACUGAACCGAAGCAUUGGUUCCUUAUGGUAGUAAACAUUCCAAGCAUCGAAGUAGAGAUAUGGGACACUUAUCCUAGUACACGCACUGAGGCUCGUGCAAAUCUCAUUCAUCAUUUGAAUACUUCAUCCAUAUCAUGUUCCCAAAUAACAUAAUGGCUUUGACUGUGGCAUUGACGUACAUGAUCAAAUUCAUGCUGGAUUAUGAGAAUACAUGUCAAAUUGGGGCUAAGUUUGAUUCUAUAAAUGAGUGCGUGCAACUAGCCCUUAGGUUGUUGAAGCACCCAAACAAACUAGCACUCAGCGAAAUUGAGAAAGGUAUGCAGUCUGAAGAGUCUUCGACUAAAGUUAUGCAACCCGAAUGAUAGCUUUGUAAAGAAAAUCAUGAAAAGGGAGAAAAACAAAGAUUGGAAUUAGAAAUUGAUGGAUCGAACUACAUGAGGGAGCUGGGCUAAAUACACAAUUUAUACUAGAGCUAGGAUUUAUAGAUUGAUGACACGUGGCUAGUUGUCUAAUGUGUAAUAUUAAUAUUGCUAACACUAAAGAGUCUGAAGAGUCUAGGGGCACAAGUGUCAACAGGAACACCAAGACACAACAACAACUUGAUG